rnacentral:tRNA from 1 species
AGAGAGGUGGCCGAGCGGUUUAAGGCGCACGCCUGGAAAGUGUGUAUACGCCAAAAGCGUAUCGAGGGUUCGAAUCCCUUCCUCUCUGCAA